rnacentral:rRNA from 1 species
UACGGGGGGAGCAAGCGUUGUUCGGAUUUACUGGGCGUAAAGGGCGCGUAGGCGGCGUGACAAGUCACUUGUGAAAUCUCCGGGCUUAACUCGGAACGGUCAAGUGAUACUGUCGGACUAGAGUACAGAAGGGGCAACUGGAAUUCUCGGUGUAGCGGUGAAAUGCGUAGAUAUCGAGAGGAACACCUGCGGCGAAGGCGGCUCACUGGGGAUUUUCUGACGCUGAGGAACGAAAGCCAGGGGAGCGAACGGG